rnacentral:rRNA from 1 species
UACGUAGGCAGCGAGCGUUGUUCGGAAUUACUGGGCGUAAAGAGUGUGUAGGCGGUGCUCUAAGUUCGGUGUGAAAUCUCCUGGCUCAACUGGGAGGGUGCGCCGAAACUGGAGUGCUUGAGCGUGGGAGAGGAAAGCGGAAUUCCUGGUGUAGCGGUGAAAUGCGUAGAUAUCAGGAGGAACACCUGUGGUGUAGACGCUUUCUGGACCAUAGCUGACGCUGAGGCGCGAAAGCCAGGGGAGCAAACGGG